rnacentral:lncRNA from 1 species
GGGCUUAUGGCUUUUCCUUUGUCUUAGGUGGUUGAGAGAUAGAACAGUUUGACUUCAGCACUAACUUUCUCAUUCUUAGCAAGUUUCAUAUCAGAGGUUUUGUGAUAUUUUCAAAAGAAAGCUUAAAUGUUCCUCUUAUGGUUCUCUCAUGUCACUCAAAUGGUGUAUGAUUCCUCACCAAGGCAUAUGGUAAGAGUUGCCUUCUCUAUUUCAUCCUAUUUCUAAAAGGCUUAUGUGGAGUUCAAGGUAGGGAUGAAAGGAGAUAGCAUACUUACUUUGCAUGUAUUGCGAAGUCAAAGCUCGGAUCCUUGAAGAGAAGUGUCAUACUCCCAGAUCAAGAUGUGCAAGUGUGAUAUAUGGUGGACUAGGUUGCUCCUUUAUUUGAUAGACUCUCUAUGUAUUGAGACAUGGCUAGCAUUUUUUCUUCUUCUUUUUUUUAUAUAUAUGAGCUUUCAUGUGCUCAAUUUUCUUUUUCUGUGGACUUGCACAUGUCCAUCUUUUUAUUUCAUUUUGCCUAGCCUUUUGAUGUCUCAUUUACCAAAUAAUGCUUAGAGAGAUGUUCUAACAUUUAGAGUAUGGAGCAACCUAUUUAGUGGAUGCGAAAUACAUGUGGUUGCGUACUUCCAGUGUAGAAGCAGCAUAUAUAUAUGUGGUGUGUACGUGAUCUUGAUCUUAGGAGCAUGAAAAGUCUCUUAACAAGGGUCAACAAGACUUGACGACACUCAACACAAAGCAAAUAGCUUAUGUGGAAAGGUUGCAAUUAUGUAAAGUAGAUAUGGCUGUGGUAGG